rnacentral:rRNA from 1 species
GAGUUUGAUCCUGGCUCAGGACGAACGCUGGCGGCGUGCUUAACACAUGCAAGUCGAGCGGUAAGGCCCUUUCGGGGGUACACGAGCGGCGAACGGGUGAGUAACACGUGGGUGAUCUGCCCUGCACUCUGGGAUAAGCCUGGGAAACUGGGUCUAAUACCGGAUACGACUACUGGCUGCAUGGUCUGGUGGUGGAAAGAUUUAUCGGUGCAGGAUGGGCCCGCGGCCUAUCAGCUUGUUGGUGGGGUAAUGGCCUACCAAGGCGACGACGGGUAGCCGACCUGAGAGGGUGACCGGCCACACUGGGACUGAGACACGGCCCAGACUCCUACGGGAGGCAGCAGUGGGGAAUAUUGCACAAUGGGCGGAAGCCUGAUGCAGCGACGCCGCGUGAGGGAUGACGGCCUCGGUU